rnacentral:rRNA from 1 species
UACGGGGGGGGCAAGCGUUGUUCGGAAUUACUGGGCGUAAAGGGUGUGUAGGUGGCGCGCUAAGUCGGGUGUGAAAUUUCGGAGCUUAACUCCGAAACUGCAUUUGAUACUGGCGUGCUUGAGGACUGGAGAGGAGACUGGAAUUCAUGGUGUAGCAGUGAAAUGCGUAGAGAUCAUGAGGAAGACCAGUGGCGAAGGCGGGUCUCUGGACAGUUCCUGACACUGAGGCACGAAGGCCAGGGGAGCAAACGGG